AACCAUAGAAACCUGCGGAGUACCUGCGGAAGGAUCAUUACAAAAGUUAUACACUUGGGGAAAGGACUCGUCUUUCGGGACUUGAGGCCUGACUCCAUUUGUAACACAACUUUCAACCACUUGUGAACAUGUAAUAAUUAUCUCACCAAUUGACUGUUAACGAAGUCUGAUUCAAAUUGUAUUGGUGUUAAUAGACACUAGUAAAAUAUGAAACAACUUUCAACAACGGAUCUCAGAUCG
rnacentral:misc_RNA from 1 species